UACGUAGGGCGCAAGCGUUAUCCGGAAUUAUUGGGCGUAAAGAGCGUGUAGGCGGCCGUACAGGUCAGCUGUGAAAACUCGAGGCUCAACCUCGAGACGUCGGUUGAAACCGUACGGCUAGAGUCCGGAAGAGGAGAGUGGAAUUCCCGGUGUAGCGGUGAAAUGCGCAGAUAUCGGGAAGAACACCCGUGGCGAAGGCGGCUCUCUGGGACGGUACUGACGCUGAGACGCGAAAGCGUGGGGAGCGAAAAGG
rnacentral:rRNA from 1 species